CUUUAGGUUCGGAAUAGCUCCUGGAAACGGGUGGUAAUGCCGAAUGUGCCCUUCGGGGGAAAGAUUUAUCGCCUUUAGAGCGGCCCGCGUCUGAUUAGCUAGUUGGUGAGGUAAUGGCUCACCAAGGCGACGAUCAGUAGCUGGUCUGAGAGGAUGACCAGCCACAUUGGGACUGAGACACGGCCCAAACUCCUACGGGAGGCAGCAGUGGGGAAUCUUGCGCAAUGGGCGAAAGCCUGACGCAGCCAUGCCGCGUGAAUGAUGAAGGUCUUAGGAUUGUAAAAUUCUUUCACCGGGGACGAUAAUGACGGUACCCGGAGAAGAAGCCCCGGCUAACUUCGUGCCAGCAGCCGCGGUAAUACGAAGGGGGCUAGCGUUGCUCGGAAUUACUGGGCGUAAAGGGCGCGUAGGCGGACAUUUAAGUCAGGGGUGAAAUCCCAGAGCUCAACUCUGGAACUGCCUUUGAUACUGGGUGUCUUGAGUGUGAGAGAGGUAUGUGGAACUCCGAGUGUAGAGGUGAAAUUCGUAGAUUUCGGAAGAACACCAGUGGCGAAGGCGACAUACUGGCUCAUUACUGACGCUGAGGCGCGAAAGCGUGGGGAGCAAACAGGAUUAGAUA
rnacentral:rRNA from 1 species